AACGAACGUUAGCGGCGCGCCUAAGACAUGCAAGUCGAGCGAGAAAGGGAUUCGUCCCCGGUAAAGCGGCGCACGGGUGAGUAACACGUAGGUCAUCAACCCUCGAGUGGUGGAUAACCCUCCGAAAGGAGGGCUAAUACAGCAUGAUGCUAGCAAUAGCCAAAGCGGGCCUCUUCAUGAAAGCUCGCGCUAGAGGAUGAGCCUGCGGCCCAUCAGGUAGUUGGCGGAGUAAUAGCCCACCAAGCCAUAGACGGGUAGCUGGUCUGAGAGGAUGAACAGCCACACUGGAACUGAGACACGGUCCAGACUCCUACGGGAGGCAGCAGUCGGGAAUCUUCCGCAAUGGGCGAAAGCCUGACGGAGCGACGCCGCGUGAGUGAUGAAGGCCUUCGGGUUGUAAAGCUCUGUGGGGAGAGAAGAAUAAGUUCAGGCCAAUACCCUGAACGAUGACGGUAUCUCCUUAGCAAGCACCGGCUAACUCUGUGCCAGCAGCCGCCGUAACAC
rnacentral:rRNA from 1 species